UACGUAGGGUGCAAGCGUUAAUCGGAAUUACUGGGCGUAAAGCGUGCGCAGGCGGUGAUGUAAGUCAGGUGUGAAAUCCCCGGGCUUAACCUGGGAACUGCAUUUGUGACUGCAUCGCUGGAGUGCGGCAGAAGGGGAUGGAAUUCCGCGUGUAGCAGUGAAAUGCGUAGAUAUGCGGAGGAACACCGAUGGCGAAGGCAAUCCCCUGGGCCUGCACUGACGCUCAUGCACGAAAGCGUGGGGAGCAAACAGG
rnacentral:rRNA from 1 species